rnacentral:pre_miRNA from 1 species
CUUGUACUCCCUCUGUCCCAAAAUUCUUGUCUUAGAUUUGUCUAAGUACGGAUGUAUCAAGUCACGUUUUAGUAUUAGGUACAUCCGUAUCUAGACAAAUCUAAGACAAGAAUUUUAAGACGGAGGGAGUACUUG